AUGUCUCCCUUAACCCCAAAAUGAGCCGGUGUAACACCACCCAAAAGCCAUCGUCCCUCUGCCGGCCGGAAAUCGUAGUCGCCGCCGGUGAUUCUACAAUUAGCCCCAUAUUUACACCCUCGAAUCCCCUCCUCCUCAUCUUUCCAACGCCCUAAAUCCCAACCCUCAGAUACUAACCGUUCAUCUUGAAUCUUCUAUCAAAGGAGUGAUUGUUCCGCCGUCCACAGUAGCGCCGACUCCAAUAGCCACCAAAAAUACACCACACAACCUCCUCGUCCCCCUCUUACCAAGUCCCAAGCCAAAACUACUCAAAUCAUGAUCAACCGGCUCGAAUUUUAGUUUGAAAAUCUGACCUGAAAACACCCCACCUCUGAACCAAACCAAAUAACACCCUGGACCCCCUCACCUUCCUUUCCUCAUGUCUUUGGUUAGUUUCCCUCAAAUAUUCCUCCAACAUCUCGAAUUUUAGAUAGAAAAAUCUUUCAAGAACCCUAAUUUUGAAAUUUGGGAAUUAAGGAGAUCCGGGCUAUAAUAUCCCUUAAUUGUGUUUUUUCUCACAAAAACAUACAAUUAAGGAUGAUUAUAAUCCAGAUGGAUUCAAGAAACUCCUCAGAUUUGGGCUAGUCAAAAUGAAAGCCAAACCAGUAAGUUUUAUUCCUAGCUUUCCUUUUUGUUUUGUUCUUUCUUUUCUUUUUUUCCUGUUCUCAUGAGUUCUGUUUGAUUUUGCUAGUUUAAUUUUGUCUUUGUUUAUAGUUAAUUCUGUUUUAUUCUCUGUUUGUUUUGAUUUUUAGUUUAGUCUUGUUCUGAUUUGUUUCAUUUUUUAAUUUGAAAUCCUGGCAUGUUUUAGGAUUUAUUUAGGGUUUUAAGAUGAUUGUGUUUAUGUUAAGUCAGUUCUGAUUUAUGAUUCAAUGGUGUUUAAUUAAUUUUAUGUUGAUUUUUAGACUUACCAAUAGUACUCGCUAAUUUGGAUUUUAGUUGGUUAAUUCAGGUCCUAAUUAGAGUUACUUGGAUGCACUGAUUCAGAUAUUAGGAUUGUUUGGUCAUAGCUAAUAAUGUUAACCAGGGCAAAGGGGUUGGGGUGUAGUUAGUACUAGGUUAGUAAAUCUCAGGGUAAAUAAAGGGUAGUAUAGGCAUUCCUAAAUAGAACACAAUGCUGUAGUUGAAUCUAGAACAUUUUAGAGUGGGGUUCAAAUUUGAAUUUCAGGAUUUUAUUGAUAUAACUUGAAGCAAAAGUUAGUUUUUUAAGGACUAACUAACAAAAUCUGAAAAAUAACGGAGGGACUAAUAGGUAAAACAAAAUAAAAAGGGUUGCCCUAAGCUCAGCCUAUAAAAGGGCAAACCAUUGCCUUAUUUUACAAGUUUUUGAAUGCUGAAAAUUCCCAAAGGUUGAAACUAUGAAAAAUUCCCAGAAGUUUUUUAUCCCUAGAAACAUUCCCAAAAAAUUUUAAAAUCCCUGAAAAUUUCCCAAAGGUUGGAACUCUGAAAAAUUCUCAGAAGCUUUUUGAUCCCUGAAAACAUUCCCGAAAAUAUUAAAAUCCCUGAAAAGUUCCCAAAAGGUUGGAACUCUGAAAAAUUUCUAGAAGUUUUGAAUCCUGAAAUUUCUAGCUUCUUAAAAUUCCCACAAAGUUUGAAGGCUAAAGAAUUCCCAGAGGAUUUUUUGGAUUCUGAAAAAUAUCUCUAAAAAUUAAAUCUUCAGAAAAAUCCCAAAAAUACUAUUUUAUUAGAGUUUUCUUCAGAUUAGUUCCAAUUUUCAGCCAUCCUUUUGAAUUUCUAGCGUAAAUACGAUAAAAAUGACUUGAAAUACGUGUGUUUGAAGUGUUGAAUCUUCAGAAGUUUGUUGGAUUCAGUUUUGAGUGUGUUUUGGAGUUCAAUUGAGGUUGUUUUUGGUUUGUUAUUGGUAUUACUGGUUUGAAGUCAUUUCCUGGGUUGCAAUGAUAUCGGUUUGGGUUUCUAAUAGAUCUGAUUAUUGUGUUGCUGUUGGAUCUCAAGUGUUGAUUCUUGUUGCUAUACUACUGAAUCACUGCCGAUCUCUUUCUUUGUUUCAUUGUAAUUCUAGGUACAUAUAUGAACUUGACUUGGUGUAGCUUUUGAGUGAAAAUGAAAUGAAAAGUGACAUGCAUCUGCUCCUUGAACUGUACUUGUUUGGAUUGCUAUGUUUAAUGGUCAAAUGGAUCUUAAAUGAUAUGUAAUAGGUUAGUAUAUUUUAAUUUUGGUUUGUACAUACAUAAACUUGGACUGGAAUGUUUUCAAGUCUAUUUAAGUGUUUUGAAUUAAUUGUAAGCCAUUUGACUGCUAUAUGUAAUAGUUAAAUCUAGACUACUAUAAUAAGUCAUGACUGAUUCAUUCCAGAUGUACGUCACUUGUAUUCGAAUGUGAACCUGCUCUAAAAGCUGAUGUUCGAACAUAUUAU
rnacentral:lncRNA from 1 species